UUUAAGACAUGACAGUCGAGCGCACCUUUUCGGAGGUGAGCGGCGCACGGGUGAGUAACGCGUGGGAACCUACCCUGGGGUAGGGGAUAACCGCUGGAAACGGCGGCUAAUACCCUAUACGUCCUUCGGGAGAAAGAUUUAUCGCCCUGGGAUGGGCCCGCGUCGGAUUAGCUAGUUGGUGGGGUAAAGGCUCACCAAGGCGACGAUCCGUAGCUGGUCUGAGAGGAUGAUCAGCCACACUGGGACUGAGACACGGCCCAGACUCCUACGGGAGGCAGCAGUGGGGAAUAUUGGACAAUGGGCGCAAGCCUGAUCCAGCCAUGCCGCGUGAGUGAAGAAGGCCUUAGGGUUGUAAAGCUCUUUCACCCGCGAAGAUGAUGACGGUAGCGGGAGAAGAAGCCCCGGCUAACUCCGUGCCAGCAGCCGCGGUAAUACGGAGGGGGCAAGCGUUGUUCGGAUUUACUGGGCGUAAAGGGCGCGUAGGCGGAUGUUCGCGUCAGAGGUGAAAGCCCCGGGCUCAACCUGGGAACUGCCUUUGAAACGGGACAUCUUGAGUUCGGAAGAGGGUAGCGGAAUUCCCAGUGUAGAGGUGAAAUUCGUAGAUAUUGGGAAGAACACCAGUAGCGAAGGCGGCUACCUGGUCCCGACACUGACGCUGAGGCGCGAAAGCGUGGGGAGCAAACAGGAUUAGAUACCCCUGGGUAGUCCAC
rnacentral:rRNA from 1 species